rnacentral:rRNA from 1 species
GACGAACGCUGGCGGCGUGCCUAAUACAUGCAAGUCGAACGCUGAAGGAGGAGCUUGCUUCUCUGGAUGAGUUGCGAACGGGUGAGUAACGCGUAGGUAACCUGCCUGGUAGCGGGGGAUAACUAUUGGAAACGAUAGCUAAUACCGCAUAAUAUUGACUAUUGCAUGAUAGUCAGUUGAAAGGUGCAACUGCACCACUACCAGAUGGACCUGCGUUGUAUUAGCUAGUUGGUGGGGUAACGGCUCACCAAGGCGACGAUACAUAGCCGACCUGAGAGGGUGAUCGGCCACACUGGGACUGAGACACGGCCCAGACUCCUACGGGAGGCAGCAGUAGGGAAUCUUCGGCAAUGGACGGAAGUCUGACCGAGCAACGACGCGUGAGUGAAGAAGGGUGUCGGAUCGUAAAGCUCGGUUGUAAGAGAAGAACGAGUGUGAGAGUGGAAAGCUCACACUGUGACGGUAUCUUACCAGAAAGGGACGGCUAACUACGUG